UACGUAGGGGGCAAGCGUUGUCCGGAAUCAUUGGGCGUAAAGCGCGUGUAGGCGGCUGGCUAAGUCCGCUCUAGAAAGCCCGGGGGCUCAACCCCCGGGAGGCGGGUGGAUACUGGUCAGCUCGAGUCCGGAAGAGGAGUGUGGAAUUCCUGGUGUAGCGGUGAAAUGCGCAGAUAUCAGGAGGAACACCAAUGGCGAAGGCAGCACUCGUGGGACGGUACUGACGCUGAGACGCGAAAGCGUGGGGAGCAAACAGG
rnacentral:rRNA from 1 species